GUUCCAUAUCAACUUCUUAAAAAGAGGAAGCUCUGACUCAAGUCUUAAUCAGAUAGAUCUUAAUGAUCAAAUCUUAAUGAAAAAAAAAAUAAAAAAUAAUAGGCAGAUCAGGAUCUGCUUUUCUUUUGACUGGAACGAGCUUGGCCCCGGUAGCUUCUUGAGAGAUAUCACUCGCGGGCCCUUCCUGCCUAUAUGUUUCCUUUGCAGCUACGGAAUCAGCUAGAGAGGGAUUUCGACCUUCGUUUUUCGGGAGAAUGAAAUAGGGGAUCUUUGACUUUCCGGUAAUAACUUAUUCCCUUCUUUCCCUCUCUUUAUGACCAGCAAAACUCACUCGCGGGGACGGGAGCUGGGUUGGCUCCGUACCGGCUGAGGGCAUUAGCACUCGACUGAUAGGGAUAGGAAAGGACUUUCGAUUUAGCGUUGUAAUUUUGACUACAUCCCUUCCUUUUUCGAAGACGACGAGCUGUCCACCUUCAUUACCUAAGAUGAAGAAUUUUCACCCAUGCUACGAGUCUGCGGUCAAGCGCAAUCUGAGAUCCCUCUUCGAUAGAUUCUUCUUUCUCGAACGGAUUUUUUUCGGACUUGAACAAGAAUUGGUCAAAAAAGCCCCGAUCCUCCAUUGAGAAUCAUUGAUAACGAAUUCUGCUUUCAUUUCCCCCGUUUUCAAAAUCACAGAGUUACUUACGGAAUGUCAAACUGUUGACUAAUGACCUCAAAAAUGCGUGACGUUUGGGAAGCAUGAGCAACCCAUGAGCCCCUGUGAAAUAUUUGAUAGGAUCCGUUUCGGAUUCGUCCUAGAUCCAAUUGAGUUGAUACGCCAUUAGAUUCGUGUUACGAUGCAGCAUAAAUCUCAGGGAUACCAGCACCAGGCCUG
rnacentral:lncRNA from 1 species